CCUACGGGAGGCAGCAGUGGGGAAUAUUGCACAAUGGGGGAAACCCUGAUGCAGCGACGCCGCGUGAGUGAAGAAGUCAUUCGUUAUGUAAAGCUCUAUCAGCAGGGAAGAAAAUGACGGUACCUGAGUAAGAAGCCCCGGCUAACUACGUUCCAGCAGCCGCGGUAAGACGUAGGGGGCAAGCGUUAUCCGGAUUUACUGGGUGUAAAGGGAGCGUAGACGGCAGUGCAAGUCUGGAGGGAAAGGCGGGGGCUCAACCCCCGGACUGCUCUGGAAACUGUACGGCUGGAGUGCAGGAGAGGUAAGUGGAAUUCCUGGUGUAGCGGUGAAAUGCGUAGAUAUUAGGAGGAACACCAGUGGCGAAGGCGGCUUACUGGACUGUAACUGACGUUGAGGCUCGAAAGCGUGGGGAGCAAACAGGAUUAGAUACCCGUGUAGUC
rnacentral:rRNA from 1 species